rnacentral:rRNA from 1 species
UACAGAGGUCUCGAGCGUUGUUCGGAUUCAUUGGGCGUAAAGGGUGCGUAGGUGGCGCCGUAAGUCGGGUGUGAAAUUUCGGAGCUUAACUCCGAAACUGCAUUCGAUACUGCGGUGCUUGAGGACUGGAGAGGAGACUGGAAUUCAUGGUGUAGCAGUGAAAUGCGUAGAGAUCAUGAGGAAGACCAGUGGCGAAGGCGGGUCUCUGGACAGUUCCUGACACUGAGGCACGAAGGCCAGGGGAGCAAACGGG